rnacentral:ncRNA from 1 species
ACGGGACUCUGGAGAGCCCCCGCGCCUCCGCCCGGCCGGGCGGAAGCGGCGGGGCACCAAAGGGGAAAACCCGGCCAGCCGAAGGGGCGACCGGGCAAUCUCUCAGGUGAAAGGACAGAGACGG